GUGGUUGACAGAUCGAUUGAUCAUCUAUACGCGUAGUCCACUUGGCAAAUCACUCGCUCUCUUCGGAAGAAACACGUACUUGGCUUGCAUUUAACCCAGAGAUCCUCCUGUGAUUGUUGCAAAAUUAGCUCACAAAAGGGGUAGCAAGAUUCAUCAAUAUACCGACGUUUGUGGUUUUUGCAUUAAACACCAGCUGUGUGUUUUUAAGUCAGACCAAGCAUACGCAAAUCGAUAUUGAAUUUGGUAUGUUGACUAUAGGUUGUUAAAAUAUUUAUGCUUCAAUAUUUACUGUUUUAAUACGAGCACUAAUAGACGCUGUUCCAGGGACGAAUGCUUAUGUAGAAUAUUCUUGAAUGAGGAUCGCUCAUACAGCAAAACAUUUAAUAGGCCAUCAAAGACAUAUUGACGGCCUUCAAAUAUAACCUCAGUUGUAUUUAUUUCGUUAUUCCAGAUCUUUGCUUUAGAAUGUUCAAACAGGAUUACUAUAUAUUGGAUAAUUGUAUCUACCACUCGGCUUUCUCCAUAUACGUUCAAUUAUUGAGCUGAUGUAAAGUACACUCUUUACUAAAUUGUAUGCUAUGUCUUUAUUCUAUUCAGGCUUAUAUAGAAGAAGAUGUGGAUUAGCGACGUCUGUUCGCCUGUUUCGAUAUUACUGCUUAUAAUAAUCGACAAUCUUUUGUUGAAUUGCUGCAAUGCAAAGACCUCUCAAUUACAGCCAGGUAUUAUGGGCAAUUACUCGUUUAAACUCGAUUUGACUUAUUGAGACAUGUGAUAUUGCAUGUACAUUACAUCCUAGAUACUUAUAUUUGAUGUAUAUACUGCUGUUACCCGCUUAUAAAUUAUAAGUAGGAUUUAUCUGUACACCGUAGCUUAAAUAUUGUGUAGUAAAAAAAAUAGUUGAAGUUCCAGGCAAGGACGAAUUUUAGAAA